UCUUCUCGGUCUGCAAUUGGAUAAUUCCAAAGGGAUUGCAUUGAUUCAUCUCAGAGAAGAAGAAAAAGCUGAUGAAUCAUGCAAUCCCUUCGGAAUCUUCCCGCGGACCGAAAGA
rnacentral:pre_miRNA from 1 species